rnacentral:rRNA from 1 species
AAACCAGCACCUCAAGUGGUCAGGAUGAUUAUUGGGCCUAAAGCAUCCGUAGCCGGCUCUGUAAGUUUCCGGUUAAAUCCAUUAGCUCAACUAAUGGGCCGCCGAAAAUACUGCAAAACUAGGGAGUGGGAGAGGUAGACGGUACUCGGUGGGAAGGGGUAAAAUCCUUUGAUCUAUUGAUGACCACCUGUGGCGAAGGCGGUCUACCAGAACACGUUCGACGGUGAGGGAUGAAAGCUGGGGGAGCAAACCGGAUUAGAAACCCGGGUAGUCC